rnacentral:rRNA from 1 species
GGGGAAUCUUCCGCAAUGGACGAAAGUCUGACGGAGCAACGCCGCGUGAGUGAUGACGGCCUUCGGGUUGUAAAGCUCUGUUAAUCGGGACGAAUGGUUCUUGCGCAAAUAGUGCGAGGAUUUGACGGUACCGGAAUAGAAAGCCACGGCUAACUACGUGCCAGCAGCCGCGGUAAUACGUAGGUGGCAAGCGUUGUCCGGAAUUAUUGGGCGUAAAGCGCGCGCAGGCGGAUUGGUCAGUCUGUCUUAAAAGUUCGGGGCUUAACCCCGUGAUGGGAUGGAAACUGCCAAUCUAGAGUAUCGGAGAGGAAAGUGGAAUUCCUAGUGUAGCGGUGAAAUGCGUAGAUAUUAGGAAGAACACCAGUGGCGAAGGCGACUUUCUGGACGAAAACUGACGCUGAGGCGCGAAAGCCAGGGGAGCGAACGGGAUUAGAUACCCCGGUAGUCCUGGCCGUAAACGAUGGGUACUAGGUGUAGGAGGUAUCGACCCCUUCUGUGCCGGAGUUAACGCAAUAAGUACCCCGCCUGGGGAGUACGACCGCAAGGUUG